UAGUUCUAACCCUAAACGAUGCUGACCAGCUAUUCGCCGUCGUUAUUCCCAUGACGUGGCGAGACGCCCCCGGGAAACCUCGAGUCUUUGAGUUCCGGGGGUAGUAUGGUUGCAAAACUGAAACUUAAAGGAAUUGACGGAAGGGCACCACCAGGAGUGGAGCCUGCGGCUUAAUUUGACUCAACACGGGAAACCUCACCAGGCCCGGACACCAGAAGGAUUGACAGAUUAAGAGCUCUUUCUCAAUUUGGUGGGUGGUGGUGCAUGGCCGUUCUUAGUUGGUGGAGUGAUUUGUCUGGUUAAUUCCGGUAACGAACGAGACUCUGGCCUACUAACUAGUGGGCGGGUGUUCUGGUAAGGGGCCCCGCCCGACAAUGUCUUCUUAGAGGGAUGAGCAGCGAGUAUAGCUGCAGGAGAUUGAGCAAUAACAGGUCUGUG
rnacentral:rRNA from 1 species